rnacentral:rRNA from 1 species
UACGUAUGUCGCGAGCGUUAUCCGGAAUUAUUGGGCAUAAAGGGCAUCUAGGCGGCCUGACAAGUCAGGGGUGAAAACCUGCGGCUCAACCGCAGGCCUGCCUUUGAAACUGACAGGCUGGAGUACCGGAGAGGUGGACGGAACUGCACGAGUAGAGGUGAAAUUCGUAGAUAUGUGCAGGAAUGCCGAUGAUGAAGAUAGUUCACUGGACGGUAACUGACGCUGAAGUGCGAAAGCCGGGGGAGCGAACAGG